UACGAAGGGGGCUAGCGUUGCUUGGAAUGACUGGGCGUAAAGGGCGCGUAGGCGGAUGGCACAGUCAGAUGUGAAAUUCCCGGGCUUAACCUGGGGGCUGCAUUUGAUACGUGUUGUCUAGAGUGAGGAAGAGGGUUGUGGAAUUCCCAGUGUAGAGGUGAAAUUCGUAGAUAUUGGGAAGAACACCGGUGGCGAAGGCGACUUUCUGGGCUGUAACUGACGCUGAGGCGCGAAAGCGUGGGGGAGCAAACAGG
rnacentral:rRNA from 1 species